rnacentral:lncRNA from 1 species
GUUUGAGCUUGCCUAGUAUCAGAGUUCUGCUGAUUGGGGAAUGCAAGGUCCAUGGAUGGAGAACCGAGCCAGGAUAUUCUGCACAUGUACUAACACCCGAGAGGGGCCUUCGCCCAUCAGUGAAGUCUCAUGAACAGCCUGUGGUCUUCAACGUCCUACAGCUCCCUACACAGACCUGGCUCUGUUUACUGCGCCACUGCUCAGAUCUCCCUCCAUAACCAUUGGUCCAUCCUUGGUUAAUCCUACCAUGAGGUGGAACCUCGGGAAAAUAGAAACAGAGCGGCCAGCCGCAUUCUGGGAAUUGUAGUUUUAACUCUCCGGCGCAGGCGCACUCCACCCUCAGCCUGGGCAGCACGGAGGGAGCUCAGGGGCUGGUCCGUUCGCUUCCAGAAUCAGUCUCCAGCCCUAGGUAUGGUCUGCAGGAACCCAUCCUGGAGCAUUAAAGUAAGGAUCUUCUACUUGGAAACAGAGAUCUGAGUUCCAGAGUGAAGUUUCCAGCUAACGUGAGUUUGUUCCUGAGCCCCCAUGGCCUAGUAAAGGUAGAAUAUCCCAAGCAAUGGGAAUCCAUUGUGGAAGACAUGAGACCUUUGAUCAGGGCUUCGUGGCAGAGCCUGGAUACUGACAUGAUAGAGCAGGUCUUGGAGCUGUUGGUCUUAGAGUAAUUCCUGUCCCUCCCACCUGUAGAAACAGAACAGAAUGAAAAUAGCAAGGAGAAGGUAACCAUGGAGAAUUUGAUCCAGAUGCUUGAAGAGAAAGCUCUACAUUUGCAGGAUUCUGCCCUUUCCCUUGAGGGAGACACAGAGGAGAAGGGCUGUGGGAUCCUGAUGACCAGGUCUCAGGUGAGUUGGAAUUUCUUCUGUCUCUCCUGAAAAACCAUCUUGGGUCUCACUGAGUAGAAACAUUUCCUUCCUUUAUCUAGGAGCUUCCCUACCCAACAAAGUCCCAUCCUGGGUCCAGGAUCCUAACUCUUCUCCCUCAGGAAACUUAAACCUAUUCUGAUGUAUAAGGACUUGCUGAGAAUGUUGCCCAGCUUUCCCCCUGCACUCCUAAUAUCCUCUCAUUCAUUCAUCCAACUUGUUAUUUAGGCUUCCUGUGUGCUUAGUACUCUGAAUUAGGGCUUAUCAACAAAGCGUAUAGUCCUUGUAAGAUCAAACAGUUCUGUCCAAAUAGAGAGCUACUUUCCUUGACAUAUCUGUGAUUUCACUGGUGUGUACCCUCCUUCCAUUAGUGCAGAUUCCAACCUUUCUCAUUCUAGGGACUCUUAAGCACCUCUUUUCGUAAAUAUCCAUAGAAAAUCUACCCAGUGUGCUGAAGGCCUUCCUCUGGUUAUUCUACCAUCUCAGAGAUACCAAUGUAGCACUUGGGGUCUGGUCUAGUGGAAGACCACUGGAUGUGGAGUCAGAAGACCUGGUUCACAUCCUGACUCUGUUGCCUACCACCUGUGGGACCUGGGUAACUUACUUUCCUUUCCUGAGCCUCAGUUUCCUCAGUUCCAGUGAGGGGUUGAACUAAAUGAUUCCUAAGGCCCCUUCCAGCUCCUAAUCUUAUCAUCUCUUGUCUCUCAUUUUCACUAUCUGACUAGUCCACCUCCUUUUCUGAUCAUCCAUGCCCUUGGUGAAGUCUUCCACAUCUCAUCUCAGACACCAGGUGUGGUUGGUAAUAGUCUGCAGCCUACCUAUGCCUAUCAUGUUCUGAAAUUACUUGAAAUUUUAAUCCUCUGAAAUCAUGGUGGUCC